AGAAAUGACUAUAAUGUGACUAUUGCAUUGGAUAGAGUUUUCCAAUGGCAUUGUUUUCUACCUAUCUGACCUAUGUUGAGUUUCGCCAAGACUUGACGGGACCAUCACAUCUUUUGACCACCCCAAAGUCUCACUCGUUGCGCCAACACAGCAGAGAGUUUGUGAGGAGGGGCCUAUAUCCCUGAUCAGCGGCUUAUCCUUUCGUCCACCACAACACUAACUCACACAGUAACUGAUGACAAUCCUUUCCAACUAAUGCUCACUGAAUUUAUCCUCAGCGCUUCUGUUGACACAGCAUGGCACCAGGGACGGAUCCAGUGAUCCACUAACUUUUCCUAUAAGAGAUCUAGACGGACCUGAAAAAAGCACCUCCUGUAGUUCCCGCCUAAACAGUAUCGAAAGAUUGAUCUAGAAGCUUUGACAGAGUUUUAGCUCUUUAUGUCUGCCACAUUGACUUUCUGAUGAAUAAAGGAAAAAAUCAUAAGCCUUUUACAAUAUCUAGCGCCAGCCGGCCGCGCGUUAUUGACAUUGUGUAGACCCUUUACUUUGAAAUUUUUUAAAGCUUUUAAAAACGGCCAUUUCUUAGGAUCGAUGUCCUUAAAGUUAGUUGUUCAGAUCAUUCAGAGGUUAUCGUUUAAAGUUUAGUUCAGUCCAAAAAAGAAAUCUGAAAGAAGGUAAAUAUCUUAAACCUCAGCUGCUUUUCCUAAUAUGCGAGAUGAGUCUGUCCGACCAAAUUUUAUUUGGUUAGCCGUCAGGCCAGAAACUCAGAAUCUCAACGAAUCUUUAUUUAGUUGCUUAUCUUAAAAUCUGUUUCAGGUAGGUGAUAAGGUGACGUUUGCAGAGCGGCGUCUAUUAAAUAUCAUACCUUUAUGUUUGAAGCUGAGACCGGCGAUAUUCCCAAGUAAUACGGCAGAUGAAGACACAAGUUUUAGUAAGGGAGGGCUCCUGCAGAGAUCAAUUCACGGACGCUAAUGUUGCCUUGAAUUAUAGUAUGAUAACCGACAGAGUGACGUUUGCAGAGCGGCGUCUAUUGAAUAUCAUACCUUUAUGUUUGAAGCUGAGACCGGCGAUAUUCCCAAGUAAUACGGCAGAUGAAGACACAAGUUUUAGUAAGGGAGGGCUCCUGCAGAGAUCAAUUCACGGACUCAAAUGUUGCCUUGAAUUAUAGUAUGAUAACCGACAGAGAUCAAGUCAAAGUCAGGCCUGCAGCGACGAGCCCCUUUCUUUCGGAUUGUGAAGUGUAAUGUUAAUGUUUAAUGUAGCUGUUUAACGUCGAAAAUUGUUAGUUUGUAAUUGUUUUUGAGAAGCAAAAUAAUUAAUCUGAGAAGUGUUUCCAGUUUUAUAAAGCUCAGGCAUGGGCACCGUAUUGUUUAUUUAGUUAUAUUUUAUACAAUAUCUUUGACCUUUGUCGCAUUAAGUUGUAGUACUACUACUAGUAGCGGGGUAGUACUAGUAAAUACUGAAUACUGUGUUUCGUUUAUUCUAUAAGUAUAUAAAUAUUGCAUUGUGUAUCUUUGUCGCAUAGUACAUAGUAUAAGUUGAUAAGUAGCGAGGUAGUUGAUACUGUUUCGUGAUGUAUUUUGAUCGUACAAUCUUAAUUAUUCGUAUUAUUAUACCGCAA